GCCAGGCACCAUGGCGGGUGCCUGUAGUCCCAGCUACUCGGGAGGCUGAGGCAGAAGAAUUGCUUGAACCCGGGAAGUGGAGGUUGCAGUGAGACGAGAUCAUGCCACUGCACUCCAACCUGGGUGACAGAGCAAGACUCCGCCUCAA
rnacentral:SRP_RNA from 1 species